UACGUAGGGGGCAAGCGUUGUCCGGAAUCAUUGGGCGUAAAGAGCGUGUAGGCGGCCCGGUAAGUCCGCUGUGAAAGUCCAGGGCUCAACCCUGGGAUGCCGGUGGAUACUGUCGGGCUCGAGUCCGGAAGAGGAGUGUGGAAUUCCUGGUGUAGCGGUGAAAUGCGCAGAUAUCAGGAGGAACACCAGUGGCGAAGGCAGCACUCUGGGACGUGACUGACGCUGAGACGCGAAAGCGUGGGGAGCAAACAGG
rnacentral:rRNA from 1 species